AUAUAAUAACAAGACUAUGUACUUAGUCAUGUCAUCAUAAUCAUUAAUUAAGAACGAGAAACCAGCUUUACAAUGACAUUCUGCAAGUAAUAAGGUGCAAGCGACCCAACUAAUGGUAAUGAAUGAGAAGCUUAAUUUUACCUAGCAUAGUGAAUAAGCAGAUUAUCAGGCUUAAAAUCACCAUGAAAUGCUAAAAAAUGAGAACAUAGACAAUAAUUGAAGAAAUCCCAAUCAUUCGGAUCUUUGGUUUGUGAUUCAAACUCAAUUGGGGUUCAGGUGUGUGUGAUUUGUUCUGAUUCCAAAUGUGAUUGUUUUUUUUUUGUUCCUUUAUCGUGCCUGGUUUAUGUAGAUUACAUGUUUGAGAUUUUGAUUCUAUGGUUUUGAAGCUGAAAAUGUCGCAUAGAAUGUUCAAUUUUGAUUAUAUUCUAUCACCUUCAAUUUCGAUAGUGAAGGUUUGAAGCCUUGAUUCGAAGGUUUGGGUAAAGUGGGGAUAGAGACGCCAGUUCAUUCCCUAGAACAAGCUAGGUGCAAGAUUUACACUUUAUUAUUCCUGACUAUUUUUUUUGAGUGGAGCAGUGAUACACACCCGCUUUCUUAUCAGCAGGCUAAGGGAGGGGGAC